rnacentral:misc_RNA from 1 species
UUAACUUUACAACCAAACAUGCCGUUACCACAGAUCAACACCAUAAUCACAAGCCUUGGACACAAUUUUUGCAUUUGCGGUUAACUUAUCCACCGUUACAUCACAGUUAACUUUAAUGGUAAUUGUCCACGUCUUAACGGAUCCCACCUUAAUUUUUACCGGCGCCCUCAAUUUUAAAUUGAACGGCAGAUUUGCUUUGUUUACACCGUUAACCAAUGCCUUACGUGCCGCACUCGUUAACUCAAUCCCUGAUCCCUUCAACGCCAUCACAAAGACCGUCACAUUAUUGCUCGGCUGGUAAAAUACUGGCAGGUUUCCGUUACAAAACCCAAAGUCAUUUUAAUACACAUUGACUGAAAAUCCUGCCCGGUAAUCAAAU